UACGAGUGGUGCAAGCGUUAUUCGGAAUAAUUGGGCGUAAAGGGUGCGCAGGCGGUGUAUUAAGUCAACUGUUAAAUACCUCAGCCUAACUGAGGAACAGCAGUAGAUACUGGUACGCUAGAGAGUGGAAGAGAGAAGUGGAAUUCUUGGAGUAGCGGUAAAAUGCGUAGAUCUCAAGAGGAACACCAAUGGCGAAGGCAGCUUCUUGGUCCAUUUCUGACGCUCAGGCACGAAAGCGUGGGGAGCAAACAGG
rnacentral:rRNA from 1 species